rnacentral:misc_RNA from 1 species
GGGACAAUUCACACAGCCAAUUGAAUAGCGAGCCUUGUGUGUCUGCAAUGGAAGAAGCGAAAGAGAUCCAGUUAAGGUGUUUACAGUGGUGGAGUAUUGAUGGAUAACGGAUGCUAUUGUUCCGGAGUUGUAAUUCUUCGUAAUCAGCUGAAAACCGAAUCCUUCAUGGAUAUCUCUUUUUCUCUUGGAUUCUAAAUUCUUGAUUUUUUCCUUACUUGAGGUGUGCACUUAUUGAUCGCUUGUGUGCCGCACCUCGCCUGAAGUGUGGUUAGG